CUGCGCUUUCCUCAUGAGUCUUCUGUUCAAAGGACAGUACCCCCAGUUUGAUGUGAAAGUGAUAGGGCGAUAAACGAAGAGCUUCUUAACCAAGCCCUCAGAACUAGCUGCCUUGAUAAGGAUCAGCUGGAGCCAGUCACAGCCUACGCUAGUUUGUGGGCAAGAAGAAAAGCACUUAAAGCAAACUCCCACCCUAUGUGGCUCAGUGGAUUCACUAUCUGCACUACCUCUUUUCAAGAAAACAGGUUUUUGGCACUGUGGUGAGGAUGCAAAGAGAAAGUGGCUGCCUGCAAACCAGGAGGAGAGCCCUCACCAGGAACCAAUCUAGCUGACACUUUGAACUUGGACUUCAAACCUCCAGUAUUGUAAGAAAUAAAUAUGUUUUCAAAGUCA
rnacentral:lncRNA from 1 species